GGGGCGUUAGCUCAGUUGGUAGAGCGCUAGGUUCGCAAUCUAGAGGUCGGGAGUUCGACCCUCCUACGCUCCA
rnacentral:tRNA from 1 species